GGGUGGUAAUGCCGGAUGCUCCAGUUGAUCGCAUGGUCUUCUGGGAAAGCUUUCGCGGUAUGGGAUGGGGUCGCGUCCUAUCAGCUUGACGGCGGGGUAACGGCCCACCGUGGCUUCGACGGGUAGCCGGCCUGAGAGGGCGACCGGCCACAUUGGGACUGAGAUACGGCCCAGACUCCUACGGGAGGCAGCAGUGGGGAAUAUUGCACAAUGGGCGCAAGCCUGAUGCAGCGACGCCGCGUGAGGGAUGGAGGCCUUCGGGUUGUAAACCUCUUUUAUCGGGGAGCAAGCGAGAGUGAGUUUACCCGUUGAAUAAGCACCGGCUAACUACGUGCCAGCAGCCGCGGUAAUACGUAGGGUGCAAGCGUUAUCCGGAAUUAUUGGGCGUAAAGGGCUCGUAGGCGGUUCGUCGCGUCCGGUGUGAAAGUCCAUCGCUUAACGGUGGAUCCGCGCCGGGUACGGGCGGGCUUGAGUGCGGUAGGGGAGACUGGAAUUCCCGGUGUAACGGUGGAAUGUGUAGA
rnacentral:rRNA from 1 species